rnacentral:rRNA from 1 species
GACGAAGGUGGCGAGCGUUGUUCGGAAUCACUGGGCAUAAAGCGCACGUAGGCGGCUAGGUAAGUCGGAUGUGAAAUACCUCGGCUCAACCGAGGAACUGCGUCCGAUACUGCCUGGCUUGAGGUCCGGAGGGGAGAGUGGAAUUCCCGGUGUAGCAGUGAAAUGCGUAGAUAUCGGGAGGAAUACCGAUGGCGAAGGCAGGUCUCUGGGCUGACACUGACGCUCAUGCACGAAAGCGUGGGGAGCAAACAGG